GACGAACGCUGGCGGCGUGCUUAACACAUGCAAGUCGAACGGAAAGGCCCUGCUUUUGUGGGGUGCUCGAGUGGCGAGCGGGUGAGUAACACGUGAGUAACCUGCCCUUGACUUUGGGAUAACUUCAGGAAACUGGGGCUCAUACCGGAUAGGAGCUCCUGCUGCAUGGUGGGGGUUGGAAAGUUUCGGCGGUUGGGGAUGGACUCGCGGCUUAUCAGCUUGUUAGUGGGGUAGUGGCUUACCAAGGCUUUGAAGGGUAGGCGGCCUGAGAGGGUGACCGGCCACAUUGGGACUGAGAUAGGGCCCAGUCGCGUACGGGAGGCAGCAGGGGGGAAUAUUGCAGAACGGGCGCAAGUCUGAUGCAGCAACGCCGCGUGCGGGAUGACGGCCUUCUGGGGGUAAACCGAUGUGGACUGAGACGAAGCGUUAGUGACGGUAAUUGGUAAAGAAGCACCGGCUAACUACGUG
rnacentral:rRNA from 1 species